CUCAGGAUGAACGCUAGCUACAGGCUUAACACAUGCAAGUCGAGGGGCAGCGGGAUUGAAGCUUGCUUCAAUUGCCGGCGACCGGCGCACGGGUGAGUAACGCGUAUCCAAUCUUCCGUACACUCAGGGAUAGCCUUUCGAAAGAAAGAUUAAUACCUGAUAGUAUCUUAAGCACACAUGUAAUUAAGAUUAAAGAUUUAUCGGUGUACGAUGGGGAUGCGUUCCAUUAGGUAGUAGGCGGGGUAACGGCCCACCUAGCCAACGAUGGAUAGGGGUUCUGAGAGGAAGGUCCCCCACAUUGGAACUGAGACACGGUCCAAACUCCUACGGGAGGCAGCAGUGAGGAAUAUUGGUCAAUGGACGAGAGUCUGAACCAGCCAAGUAGCGUGAAGGAUGAAGGUCCUACGGAUUGUAAACUUCUUUUAUAAGGGAAUAAACCCUCCCACGUGUGGGAGCUUGUAUGUACCUUAUGAAUAAGCAUCGGCUAACUCCGUGCCAGCAGCCGCGGUAAUACGGAGGAUGCGAGCGUUAUCCGGAUUUAUUGGGUUUAAAGGGAGCGCAGACGGGUCGUUAAGUCAGCUGUGAAAGUUUGGGGCUCAACCUUAAAAUUGCAGUUGAUACUGGCGUCCUUGAGUGCGGUUGAGGUGUGCGGAAUUCGUGGUGUAGCGGUGAAAUGCUUAGAUAUCACGAAGAACUCCGAUUGCGAAGGCAGCACACUAAUCCGUAACUGACGUUCAUGCUCGAAAGUGUGGGUAUCAAACAGGAUUAGAUACCCUGGUAGUCCACACGGUAAACGAUGGAUACUCGCUGUUGGCGAUAUACUGUCAGCGGCUUAGCGAAAGCGUUAAGUAUCCCACCUGGGGAGUACGCCGGCAACGGUGCAACUCAAA
rnacentral:rRNA from 1 species